rnacentral:rRNA from 1 species
AGGACGAACGCUGGCGGCGUGCUUAACACAUGCAAGUCGAGCGGAAAGGCCCUUCGGGGUACUCGAGCGGCGAACGGGUGAGUAACACGUGAGUAAUCUGCCCCUAGCUCUGGGAUAGCUCCGGGAAAACCGGGAUUAAUACCGGAUACGACCACUUUAGACAUCUGUUGUGGUGGAAAGAAUUUUGGCUAGGGAUGAGCUCGCGGCCUAUCAGCUUGUUGGUGGGUAAUGGCCUACAAGGCGACGACGGGUAG